UAGUUGAAAUGCAUGGUGGGAAAUAAAUGAGUAUUUCAUUUGCUGUACCUGCAACCGUAUAGUCGGAGCGCCACCCAACUAAGUCCGCUGUUGAAUGAAGGCCAGGAAAAGUCUAGUUCUACAAUGAAAAA
rnacentral:ncRNA from 10 species